rnacentral:rRNA from 1 species
AUGCACGCUGGCGGCGUGCCUCAUCCCUGCCAGUCGAGCGAACGGACGAGAAGCUUGCUUCUCUGAUGUUAGUGGCGGACGGGUGAGUAACACGUGGAUAACCUACCUAUAAGACUGGGAUAACUUCGGGAAACCGGAGCUAAUACCGGAUGAUAUUUUGAACCGCAUGGUUCAAAAGUGAAAGACGGUCUUGCUGUCACUUAUAGAUGGAUCCGCGCUGCAUUAGCUAGUUGGUAAGGUAACGGCUUACCAAGGCAACGAUGCAUAGCCGACCUGAGAGGGUGAUCGGCCACACUGGAACUGAGACACGGUCCAGACUCCUACGGGAGGCAGCAGUAGGGAAUCUUCCGCAAUGGGCGAAAGCCUGACGGAGCAACGCCGCGUGAGUGAUGAAGGUCUUCGGAUCGUAAAACUCUGUUAUUAGGGAAGAACAUAUGUGUAAGUAACUGUGCACAUCUUGACGGUACCUAAUCAGAAAGCCACGGCUAACUACGUG